rnacentral:rRNA from 1 species
GUCUGUGGUCAUACCACCCUGAAUGCACCCAGUCUCAUCUGAUCUCAGAAGCUAAGCAGGGUCAGGCCUUGUCAGUCCUUGGAUGGGAAGAGAGAGAGUAACUUGCCCAAGGUC